rnacentral:lncRNA from 1 species
UAUACUCUUAUUUAAUUUAACAAAACCUAAGAGUACAUCCUACCUCUUGACAGGAGCUCAUGGGCUGCUGAUGCAUCUUUUUCAGUUACCCUGAUAUUGUUAUUGUAAAGAUACAGAGUUGUUUAUGUGUCUGAGAGAGAAACAGACAAUAAUUUGCAGCAUUACUCACUGGAUCAGUUUUUACAGCAGCCUCAGAACUCUCACAAAUUUAUAGGUAUGCCGACAUGUGAUAUUUAUAUGGAAGAUGUUUCAUUAUCACCUGGCAUAUUAUUGAAAUGUACAACACAUUCAAACUCUGCCUUUCAUCAGAAAAAAAGCCACAUGGGAUCUGAAAGACUGUCCUUAUUUACAAGGGAUUUCCAGAUGUUUGACCACCUGCUUGGGCCUAGCAUGUAGAUUGAUCCUUUCUCACCAUGUUCAGAGAUGAGCAUGGGUAAGCUAGUGUAUGAAGCAGCAAGCCUUGUGUUUCCAUGGUGUUUCCAUGAAGUACCUGAUAAAGAUGUAGUCAAGGACAAACAGAAGGAAAUGAUGCUUUCCCACUUCACUUUAUCUGUUGUGGCAUUUGCCUGUUUCUCUUAUAUACCCAAGGUGUGAGUUUAUUUGCUUUUAUUUAUUUAUUUAUUACGGUACCACUGAUUCUGGACCAGAUGUACUAAGUCCUAUGCAUUUUGAGGGCAGCAGAUUUACUGGCUGUGUGCAGACCAUCUGCACCCUGAAUGUGUAACAGGUCCAGUCCUUCCAAGAACUGCUAGAUUUACCGAACAUGUGCUACAUGACUUGCACACCUAGGAAAUGAUGAGAGGAAUUGUGCCAGUCCUAGUUCUAUGGAGAGCUUAGAAAGAAGAGGAGAAACAUCUUCUACUAUAGGAAAACUGACUUUAGGGAAGCAGUUCUUUCCCAUUCAGGAAACUUGUUCUGUGAGCUUUGGGCAGAAGAUAAAUUCAGUGUCUGUGAGAAACCUUAGUAUCUGAGAGAGAAAUCUGUUCAACAUUUAAUAUGGCUUCAGGCUCUGUAAUCCCCUGAGGCAGCGAAGCAACCUCAGUGCCUUAGAAACUCCUUCAGGGUGUCAGCCUUGUCAAUGUGGCACUUGUGAACCACUGUUACAGGCAAGCCACAGGGCAUGGAUUGGAUCUCUGGCCUGUAAAGA